GCCUCUGUAGCUCAGUUGGUUAGAGCGCUGCACCGGAAUCGCAGGGCCGUAGGUUCAAUUCUUACCAGAGAAC
rnacentral:tRNA from 1 species